ensembl:snRNA U2 U2 spliceosomal RNA
AUCACUUCUCGGCCUUUUGGCUAAGAUCAAGUGUAUUAUUUGAUUUUUCAUGAUAGCCAUUCUUUCUGGGGUAAGAUGAAAUCUCAGUGUUGUUUUAAUUUGCAUUUUUCUAAUGGCUAGUGAUGUUGAGC